CAGCCGCCGCGGUAAUACAGAGGGUGCAAGCGUUAAUCGGAAUUACUGGGCGUAAAGCGCGCGUAGGUGGUUUGUUAAGUUGGAUGUGAAAUCCCCGGGCUCAACCUGGGAACUGCAUUCAAAACUGACUGACUAGAGUAUGGUAGAGGGUGGUGGAAUUUCCUGAGUAGCGGUGAAAUGCGUAGAUAUAGGAAGGGACACCAGUGGCGAAGGCGACCACCUGGACUAAUACUGACACUGAGGUGCGAAAGCGUGGGGAGCAAACAGGAUUAGAGACCCCAGUAGUCCCUGUCUCUUAUAC
rnacentral:rRNA from 1 species